GAUGAACGCUGGCGGCGUGCUUAAUACAUGCAAGUCGAACGGAGAAUCUUUGUAGCAAUACGGAGGUUCUUAGUGGCGAACGGGUGCGUAACGCGUUGGUGACCUGCCCCAAAGUGUGGGAUAACAGUUCGAAAGGACUGCUAAUACCGCAUGUGGACACGAGGGUUAGAGGCUUUGUGUCUAAAGCAGUAAUGCGCUUUGGGAGGGACCUGCGUCCCAUCAGUUAGUUGGUAGGGUAAUGGCCUACCAAGACUUCGACGGGUAGGGGACCUGAGAGGGUGGUCCCCCACACUGGCACUGAAACACGGGCCAGACACCUACGGGUGGCUG
rnacentral:rRNA from 1 species